UACGUAGGGCGCAAGCGUUAAUCGGAAUUACUGGGCGUAAAGCGUGCGCAGGCGGUUUUGUAGUCUGACGUGAAAUCCCCGGGCUCAACCUGGGAAUUGCGUUGGAGACUGCAAGGCUAGAAUCUGGCAGAGGGGGGUAGAAUUCCACGUGUAGCAGUGAAAUGCGUAGAGAUGUGGAGGAACACCGAUGGCGAAGGCAGCCCCCUGGGUCAAGAUUGACGCUCAUGCACGAAAGCGUGGGGAGCAAACAGG
rnacentral:rRNA from 1 species